UGUAGGCAGAUAUAAACUAAGCAUUGCUAGGUUCUUUGGAGCUUAAAUAUUUAUAAAAUGUCAUUGGUUUUAUUUUAGGGUAAUAAAUGGUUUCUAGCAGAAUGAUCAAUUAUAUGUAAUCCAAGUUGGGUGUCUGACUAGAGGAUUUUGGACUUAUUGAAUUUUUCUUUGGUUUUCUUUUCUGAUGAUAAAUAGCUGGUUAUGAAGUAAUGGUUGAAUGUAAUCUAAAUUAGUGUAAAAUAAGUGACCAAUGCUUGAAUUCAAGUAGGCAAUGCAUUAAGUUGCUAAUUCUGUUAUUGGAGGGACAUAACAGAGCUCUCACAAUUUAAUCAUCACCAAAAUGUUGAAUGCAACUUGGACUGAAGAUACCGAAAACCUUAUAAUUUUUCAUGUUUAUAUAAGAAUUAAUUUCAGAUGGCCUAAACUGUCCUGUUUUCCAUCAGCGAUAGUUCCCUUCAUUAUUAUUGACCUCCCACUAUGUAGAAUGAUUUCUUGUUACAGUUUGUCAUGGUUGUAGGCCUUUAUGAGUAAAUGCCUUGAUUUUUCACUUGAAACCCAUUUUUCAGAGGGGCAACGAUCAAUUCAGUCGUUGUAGCUAUGGAUACCUCUAGCUAGCCUUUUUGGUGCUAUACACAAAGCCAAUAUAGUUUGUUAUCUUCCUAUAUUUGAAGGACAAAAACUCUUGUGCACAUUUUGUCAAGUACCUGCAUCAUGUAAUCUUUCCCCUCCUUCAGGGCAUCAUCUCUUGUUUUAUUCUUUACUUAGAUUAUUAUAUAUUGUAUGCUUCAGGAAAUUCUUGACCUUAGCUUGAACAGCUUCUAUAUGGUAUUAUUGUAAUUUUCAUUAAUUUAUGUUUUAUUCUGUUUUGAUCUUUCAAACUUUGUUGCAUGGUUAAACUUUGCUAGUGUCUAAAAUCAUGUAUGCUAUGUCCUAG
rnacentral:misc_RNA from 1 species